CUCCUUUUUAGCUUCUUCCACCUGCUCAGAAACCCGUUUUGCAUUAUCAGUAGUACUAUUACUUAAUUCUUCAUUCAUUCUUUUUUUAUUGCGCUCAAUAAUAUCACUUGCACUUUUAUAUACAUCCUUGAAUAGUGCUUCAACCUUACCGUUCAAAUCAUUAUAUUCCUUAGAAGCAUGUUUAUAGUAUUCCAUUACUCUUCUUUGAAACUCUUUAUCAUCACAAGAACCAAUACUUUCUUUAC